UACAGAGGUCUCAAGCGUUGUUCGGAUUCAUUGGGCGUAAAGGGUGCGUAGGUGGCGCUGUAAGUCGGGUGUGAAAUUUCGGAGCUUAACUCCGAAACUGCAUUCGAUACUGCGGUGCUUGAGGACUGGAGAGGAGACUGGAAUUUAUGGUGUAGCAGUGAAAUGCGUAGAGAUCAUAAGGAAGACCAGUGGCGAAGGCGGCCUUCUGGACAGCGACUGACGCUGAGACGCGAAAGCGUGGGGAGCAAACAGG
rnacentral:rRNA from 1 species